CCUGAUGUGACCCCUUAUGGGAUGUUGUUAGAUGUUCAUGUAACGUAGUGCGAAUGACCAUCUGGAUUUUAAUUAGAUAGGUAGGUACACCCCACUGUAGGUAGGUACACCCCAAGGUAGUUCUCAGGCCAGCACUAGUUCUUGUCCUAUUUGAGAACAGGUACAUAAAGGGUUCCCUGGUUGGGGACUAUGUACUACCUGUCGUUGUUUUACCUUGUUUUCAUAAUAUCAUAUAUUUUAUCUUAUUAAUUUAUAGUUAAGGGCUUCUGGUAUUACAGAUUUUCUUUGCUGAAAAUCAGCACAAUAUUUAAAUUUGACACAGAUUCAAAGGUUUAUAUGUCUUUUUAGCUUUUGAUUUACAAAGAAACCCAACUGUUUAAUAUAUGUUUAAUUGAUUGAAUGUCAACAUAUAAUUAUGAAUAUGUAUACGAUAUGCUAGAAUGAUGAUUUACUGUCAUAACGAGAUGCUUGUUAUUGAUUCUUAUUCUCCAAGAGAUUUAAAAUUGACAUGUAUUUUUGACCCGUUUUGUAUAACAUGUAUUAAGUCUUUACCUUGUAUAUCAUUGGCUGAUGUUAGUGAUUUACCCAACUUUGAAUUAAUUUUUGCAUUAAAUUGUGUGAAUUCCAAAUAUUGGCUGUGUGUAUUGAUAGCAUUUCUACAUCAUGUAGCUAUAGAUUGUAUCAUUGAUUCUAUUAAGUUUCGUAAAUGUUUAAUAUCUAUUUAUCUAUUUAUAUUUCCGGUGUUUUGUUUUUGAUCAGUAUCAAUUUGGUGUUUAUCCUCCCCCUCACAUAACAUAAAGUUGUCCUAAACAGCAAACAUUUAGGAGAUAUUCAGCCGUACCAGGAUUAUUGUUUACACUGACAAUACCAACAAAUUAAAUCAGCUAAUUUUUUUUUUGAAUACUUGUAUUAAAAACCUAGUAAGAAGAGUACUUAGAAAAUAUAUUUAAGAACUCUUUUUAAAAUAAAUGUUAAAAUACACUGUUCAGUGUGUAGUAUGUUACCCAAUUACUGUGAAUCGACUUUCUGAGCAUCAGAGCACUGUUACACAGAAUUCUUCACAGAUUAAUUCCUCGAUAUGAGAGGCCAUAUAAAACAGUUUGUAUGAGAUUAAUGACUUGUAACUUAACUAUUUUAUCAGGGUAUUAAGUUUAAGUGUAUAUCAAAAAGCUUAUGAAUUGUUAUUGAUUUAUUUUGAAUGAAAUAAAUUCUAUAGUACUAAUGUACAUGUAUAUUCCUGUGAAAUGAUGGAUGUUGAUUAAAUCAGGGAGACAUUUUUAUGUUGCCAAAUCUAAUUAUGGGAAUAUUUUAUUUACAAAUUGUCUAUUAGAAGGUUCAAAGGUCAAGCUGUUCUAUUUGAAGUACAUGUAUAAAUGUUUGUAGAAUAUGUACCUAAAGCUUGCCAUUUCCUUUUGUUUUACUGUCAAUCCAUGGUGCUCAUCAUUAUCACAUUUUGUAUCUAUGUUUUUAUAUAUCACAUUUUGGAGGGUUUUGUUUUAAUUCCGAUCUGUAUGCAGCUAUUUAGGAAAUUAGAUUGAUGUAAAAUUUUGUUUCCUAAUUGUUCAUAAUUCUUCAUAUGUUAAUUGUAGCAUAAAUAAAAUGUAAUCAUGAUAUAUGUAUAUUCAUUUACAUAUAAUUGCACGCAAGUAUGUUCCAUCGUCAAUGUGAAAACCAGGGUUGGAAAAGAGUUUUCAGUUAUCAUUGUAUACCUUGGAAUUGUUUUCCUCCUAACAAUUUGCCAUAUAAUUUAGUUUUUGGAAGGGACAAUAGUUAAUUUAAACAUUCAAUGAUAUUGUACAAUUUUUGAAGACCAGAGAGAGAGACAGAGAAAGAGAGAGAGAGACAGAGAAAGAGAGAGAGAGAGAGAGAGACAGAGAAAAAAGGAGAGAGAGGUUUAGGAAAUGGAGAAGUUUGAUAGAAUAGAAGGGAUAUUGAAACUUUCCACAGAAAUGGUUUUAAGUCACUCAAGUUUAUGAUCCCAAGCUUUCCUGCUAUGCUGGUUUGUUUUUAGCCUACCAUGAUCAAAUUGCCCUGCGUCCGUUGUCCAUCCAUUCUUCCCUCUGUAUGUCCAUCCCUCCGUCCGUCCCUCCGUAAAUAAUUCUUGUUAUCGCUAUUUCUCAGAAAGUACUGAAGGGAUCUUUCUCGAAUUCCAUAUGUAGGUUCCCCUUGGUCUCUAGUUGAACAAAUUGCAUUUUGGGACCAAUCAGAAAACAGCAUGGCUAACAGGUGGCCAUCUUGGAUUUUGACCAUUGAAGUUUUAUUAUUGCUAUUUCUCAGAAAGCACAGAUGGAGGAUCUUUAUCAAAUUUCAUAUGUGGUUUUUCCUUGGUCCCUAGUUGUGAAUAUUGUAUUUCAUGAUGGAUCGGAAACCCAACAUUGCCGAGAGGCAGCCAUCUUGGAUUUUGACAAUUGAAGAUUAUUAUUGCUAUUGUUCAGAAAGUGCUUAAGUGAUUUUUCUCAAAUUUAAUAUGUAGGUUUCCCUUGGUCCAUAGUUGUGCAUAUUGCAUUUUGGGACCAAUCGGAACACAGUAUGGCUGACAGGUGGCCAUCUUGGAUUUUGACAAUUGAAGUUUGUUACCACUAGUUCUCAAAUUUCAUAUGUAGGUUCCCCUUGAUCCCGGGUUAUGCAUAAUCCUGUAUAGGACCAACCUGACAACAACAUGGCCAUCAGGCAACCAUCUUGAAUUUUGACAAUUUAAUCUGCAUUAUUAUAGUACGCCAUAGUGGGUCUCUCUCAUAAAGAGGUUCCACUUGGUCUACAGUUGUGCAUGCAAGCCUGAUUAAAAGAACUAAAUAAAUGGAUGACAAAGAGUGUGGUCAUCUUAGGUUUUGACAAGUGCAGGUUGCUACUGCUAUAUAGUGUUAUAUUCAGUUAUUACAUGCUUUGAAGGAAGAGUGAAAGAAGGGAAAAGAAGAGAAAAGAUCAGUCUUUCAUUUGACUGAUGUCGAUCAUCCAUGGUAGGCGCCAAUACCCCUUACGGAACUCUUGCUAUUGUCAUAAGGAGAAAAAAAAAAUGCUUUGUGUGAUAAAGGUAUGCAUAUGUAAAAGAGACAUUUAUAUCCAAAUGAUUAAUAAACUGAUUUAAACUCGC